GUCCAGUCCAGCUUGGGUCACAGCUGCAAAGCCCGGUGUCCGGGAGGAAGGUUCCGUGGCCUGAACACUGGUCUAAGCAUGUGGCCCUGGGGGUCUCGCAGUUGGUGCCUCCCCAUCCCACAGAGCAGUGGCAUUCGCCUCUCACGCAGACACCCCGGCCUGAACAUGUGGGGUCCAUGCAGUCCACUGUGAGAUGGAGGAAGGAGAACAUAGAGAAAAGCCCACAUGAGGACGAGGACAAAGCAAGAAGGCGACUGUUGCCAGCCUGGAAGAGAGGCCUCACCAGAAACCAACCCUGCCAGUACCUUGAUCUUGGAUGUGCAGUGUUCAGAACUGUGAGAAAUAAAUUUCUAUUUUAAACCA
rnacentral:lncRNA from 1 species